CGGCCUGAGGUCGGACGAGGCUACCCGCUGAAUUUAAGCAUAUUACUAAGCGGAGGAAAAGAAACUAACGAGGAUUCCCUCAGUAACGGCGAGUGAAGCGGGACGAGCCCAGCGCCGAAUCCGGCCGCUUA
rnacentral:ncRNA from 1 species